GGGGGUAUAGCUCAGUGGUAGAGCAUUCGACUACAGAUCGAGGCUUUCUUUCUGUUUCAACCCCGAGUGCCCUUC